rnacentral:rRNA from 1 species
UACAGAGGGUGCGAGCGUUAAUCGGAUUUACUGGGCGUAAAGGGCGCGUAGGCGGUGAUAUGAGUGAUAGGUGAAAGCCCCGGGCUCAACCUGGGAAGUGCCUAUCAAACGAUAUGACUGGAGUAUAAGAGAGGGUGGCGGAAUUUCCGGUGUAGCGGUGAAAUGCGUAGAGAUCGGAAGGAACGUCAAUGGCGAAGGCAGCCACCUGGCUUAAUACUGACGCUGAAGCGCGAAAGCGUGGGGAGCAAACAGG